AGCGAACGCUGGCGGCAGGCCUAACACAUGCAAGUCGAGCGAAGCCUUCGGGCUUAGUGGCGGACGGGUGAGUAACACGUGGGAACGUACCUUUUGGUUCGGAAUAACGCAGAGAAAUUUGCGCUAAUACCGAAUGAGCCCUUCGGGGGAAAGAUUUAUCGCCGAAAGAUCGGCCCGCGUUGGAUUAGGUAGUUGGUGUGGUAAAGGCGCACCAAGCCUACGAUCCAUAGCUGGUCUGAGAGGAUGAUCAGCCACACUGGGACUGAGACACGGCCCAGACGCCUACGGGAGGCGGCAGUGGGGAAUCUUGCGCAAUGGGCGAAAGCCUGACGCAGCCAUGCCGCGUGAAUGAUGAAGGUCUUAGGAUUGUAAAAUUCUUUUACCAGGGACGAUAAUGACGGUACCUGGAGAAAAAGCCCCGGCUAACUUCGUGCCAGCCGCCGCAGUAACAC
rnacentral:rRNA from 1 species